rnacentral:rRNA from 1 species
UACGUAGGGCGCAAGCGUUAUCCGGAAUUAUUGGGCGUAAAGAGCUCGUAGGCGGUUUGUCGCGUCUGCCGUGAAAGUCCGGGCUCAACUCCGGAUCUGCGGUGGGUACGGGCAGACUAGAGUGAUGUAGGGGAGACUGGAAUUCCUGGUGUAGCGGUGAAAUGCGCAGAUAUCAGGAGGAACACCGAUGGCGAAGGCAGGUCUCUGGGUCUUAUCUGACGCUGAGGCACGAAAGCUAGGGGAGCGAACGGG